rnacentral:rRNA from 1 species
UACGUAGGGUGCAAGCGUUGUCCGGAAUUAUUGGGCGUAAAGCGCACGUAGGCGGCUUUUUAAGUCAGGGGUGAAAUCCUGGAGCUCAACUCCAGAACUGCCUUUGAUACUGAGAAGCUUGAGUCCGGGAGAGGUGAGUGGAACUGCGAGUGUAGAGGUGAAAUUCGUAGAUAUUCGCAAGAACACCAGUGGCGAAGGCGGCUCACUGGCCCGGUACUGACGCUGAGGUGCGAAAGCGUGGGGAGCAAACAGGG